rnacentral:rRNA from 1 species
UACGUAGGGGGCAAGCGUUGUCCGGAUUUACUGGGCGUAAAGGGCGCGUAGGCGGCCUUCUAAGUCGAACGUGAAAUCCCUGGGCUCAACCCAGGAACUGCGUCCGAUACUGGAAGGCUUGAAUCCGGGAGAGGGAUGCGGAAUUCCAGGUGUAGCGGUGAAAUGCGUAGAGAUCGGGAGGAACAUCAGAGGCGAAGGCGGCGAACUGGAUAGUAACUGACACUGAACUACGAAAGCGUGGGUAGCAAACAGGG